ACGGAAGGCAGCAGUGGGGAAUAUUGCACAAUGGGGGGAACCCUGAUGCAGCGAUGCCGCGUGGAGGAAGAAGGUUUUCGGAUUGUAAACUCCUUUUAUCAGGGACGAUAAUGACGGUACCUGAAGAAAAAGCUCCGGCUAACUACGUGCCAGCAGCCGCGGUAAUACGUAGGGAGCGAGCGUUGUCCGGAAUUACUGGGUGUAAAGGGAGCGUAGGCGGGACGGCAAGUCAGAUGUGAAAUAUACGUGCUCAACAUGUAGACUGCAUUUGAAACUGUUGUUCUUGAGUGAAGUAGAGGUAAGCGGAAUUCCUAGUGUAGCGGUGAAAUGCGUAGAUAUUAGGAGGAACAUCGGUGGCGAAGGCGGCUUACUGGGCUUUUACUGACGCUGAGGCUCGAAAGCGUGGGGAGCAAACAGGAUUAGAUACCCUGGUA
rnacentral:rRNA from 1 species